rnacentral:rRNA from 1 species
AGCCCUAAGUGGGUGGUAAACUCCAUCUAAGGCUAAAUAUGACCACGAGACCGAUAGCGAACAAGUACCGUGAGGGAAAGUUGAAAAGCACUUUGAAGAGAGAGUUCAAGAGUACGUGAAACCGUUUAGGGGUAAACCUGAGAAACCCGAAAGGUCGAAGGGAGAAAUUCAUUCGCGUUUCGUCGUUGGCGUGAGACGGUCGUGUGACGGGAUUCGUUCGCGAGUCCCGCGCUUUCCGUUUUUCGAUCCGGCGGCGAACGCGUGCACUUUUCUCCUGGUAGGACGUCGCGAUCCGUUGGGUGUCGGUCUACGGCUCGCGGUGGAGCCCGGACGUACGGCUUGCCGUCACGUCCGGACCCGCGUGUCCCGGCUGACUCGCUCGACGGUAUACGAAAGGUUUGGGGCCGCUCUUUGAGCGUUCGACUCGUCGCAAGCGCGUCAGAUGUGUCGGCGAUCGGACCUAGUGCCGGUUCUGACCUCUGAUGACUGUUGGCGGCGAAUGUCUCGAACAGACUUUAAACCGAUCGGCGACGCUAUAGCUUUGGGUACUUUCAG